GUACCUAACAGGAAUGGUAGACAAGAGGACCUUAGAAAAGUACGAGAGAGAAGCAAAGGAAAAGAACCGAGAAACCUGGUAUCUGUCCUGGGCUUUGGACACCAACCAAGAGGAGAGGGACAAAGGCAAGACGGUAGAGGUGGGCCGAGC